AAUACAAAUAUAGAACACUUUUGGCCUGGAACAUUAUUAUGUGCUCUCUGGGGUUUGUUGUUGAAGAUUAUGGGGGGAAUUGGAAAGAAGAGGAAGAGAGAGAAGCAACGACCAACCGUUCACCCAAACAACAGGUACGCUGAGACCCCACUGGACUUCGUUCACUUGGCUUCUUUCUACCCUUCCUUCUGUCCCUACGUCAAGUAUUCCACACACAGCAGCGUCGCCCGCUCUUUCCUCGACUGGACCGACUUUAACGCCACCCGCGUCCUCCUCCUUCAUGACCACUCCCUCCACUGGUGGAUCCCUGAUGGCCACCUCUGCCCUACUGUCCCCAAUAGGUCCAACUACAUCCACUGGCUCAAUGACCUUCUCUCUUAUCACAUCAUUCCAACCAACUCCAUUUGUUCUCAACAAGGUAAAGUCAGGGGUUUUGAUAUUGGCACUGGCGCCAAUUGCAUUUACCCGCUUCUUGGCGCUUCCUUUUUUGGUUGGAGCUUUGUUGGAUCAGGCAGCUUUGUCUUUUUCUCGGUUUUCGGAUGUGACUGAUGUUGCUAUUAAGUGGGCCACCAGGAAUGUUAACAGUAAUCCACAUAUUGCUGAGUUGAUUGAGAUUAAAAAGGUUGAAGACAAGGAAAAGGCUUUGUGUGUUGAAGGGUUCCAUGAGGGUGGAGCCAGGAUAAAUAUUUGCAAAGAGUUCUUUGAAAGCUUGGAGGAAGUAGGACUUAAUCCAAAAACUUCUUGAGGUGGCACUUCCAAGGAAAUGGUUUGUCCUGGUGGUGAGAAGGCAUUCGUUGCUUGUAUUAUUGAAGAUAGUGCUGUGCUAAAGCAUCAGUUUCGGUGGUUCACUUCAAUGGACUUCAAUGGUAGGCAGAAAAUCAAGUCUCAAGUCCCUUGUUUCAAAACUUUGGGAGGUUGGGGUCACCAUAGAGAAGACGACUGAAUUUGUCCAGGGUAGAACAUCCAGAUGGGGGCUUGCUUGGUCUUUCUUGCCACCCAUAUAGAAGCCAUCGAUUUCUUUGCCUUAGAAGAAUAACAUGUCCUUCGUGUUUGAGCAAAUUUUCAGGGUCUUCUGCGCCAACAUGGUGCCAUUAAUGUAUUGGAAGCUGUAAAAUCUUACUUCUCUAUGCAUGGCCUGUCAUGUACACUGAAUACAUCUGCUUUCACAGUGGAUAUAAGACUACUUCCUCUAAGUCUCAGAUUUUGAUUUGGUUUUCUUGUCAUGGCUGUGCCUCUUAAGCAUGAUUACAUUUUAACAGGUUGUAGCAUCCAAAGAUGAAUAUGAGUCAAUGUUGAAUGAUUCACCUGUUAUCAAUAAAUCCAUCUAUUUUCAACCUACAGGAGAGACAUCUAAUGGAUCAAGACUAAAUUUAUCUUCCGAUAGGUUUUUCAGCAAAUCCCUGGGACAUUGUUAGUGAAGGGUUCAUUGCAGGAUAGGAGUGGCCCAUUAUCAGGGAUGUUUGCAGCUAUAUUCCAAAAACUGGAGGAAGCUUUGCGCCAUGAAUUUUGUACGAAAUCAGGAUAGGAGUUUUAUUGCUUGCCUGGCUUAUCAUAUGGGAUAGAUUUAUUGGAUAUGAUGAUAAGUUGUGGGAUGAUGAAAAAAGUUCAUGAAUGCUAAUUUCUAUAGUUCAAGGAAACAAGUGACAAGUGAUUGUGCUAUUUGGGUCUAAAAAGGAAAUAGAGAGACAAUCAUUAGGGAUUUUGUUUAAUCAUCUCUGUAUUGAUGGUUCUGCUUGAACUUGAGAAGGGGGUUGAAUCAAGUUAGUUUAAAACUUAACGUUUCA